rnacentral:lncRNA from 1 species
AUUAAGCAUAAAGGAUAAUAAAUUAUCCAAUGUGAUUUUCUCUCAUAAUCGACUAUUUGGACUUGUAAUCAAUUAGUUAUAUGCGGAAAAUUUUGAUGAUUUAGUCAAAGAGAAAAGGUCCUCAAAAAUAAUUUUGUGAGUGUGUGGGAGUUUCCUUAGUAACUUAUGAGUUACUUUAUCUUUUUACAACAGUCUGGUCACUCACAGAUUACGUUAAGCGCACGACUGAUCAGACGAGC